rnacentral:misc_RNA from 1 species
UGUAUGUUAACCCAAUCGACAUAUCUCUAAAAGUGACGUUUCUCACCCAGAUUUCUUUGCUACCGUGGAUUUGAACAGGCACGCGAACUCCCUCACCGUGGAUUGUUGUGUAGCUUAUGUUUUCCAGUAAUGGGACAGCUUUGGGGUCAAAACUCUCGUCAGCAUGUUCAUUGUAAUCUGUUUUGAUGACGAUUCCCACCCUAACGUUUUCAAAUGUCAAGUUCUUGUAUGUUAUAUCUCGAACGUAUCCUCCUCUUCCAGGUGCUGUUUUGAUGCGUACAGCACGUCUUGAGUUCCAGAUAAAGAGGUUUUCCACAGUGACAUUUGACACUCCACCAGACAUCUCACUUCCUAUUGAUACACCAGCACUGACAUUGGAACGAAUGACAAGGUUUCGAAUGAGUAUAUUCUUUGAAGGUCGUCCAUAAGCAAUUCCAUACUGAUCCCAUCCACUCUUUAUUGCGAUGCCAUCAUCACCAACGCUGAUGUAACAGUUCUCUAUCAACACAUCUUCACAAGAAUCUGGAUCUAUGCCAUCAGUAUUCGGAGCCCCAGCAAUGGGUGCCAGGAUUGUAACAUUCCUGAUUGUUACAUUCUUGCAGUCAUAUGGAUGGAGUGUCCAAAAGGGAGAAUCUUGUAAAGUUAUAUUUGAUAUUAGGAUGUCAGUAGACCACAUGAUCUGCACGAGCGGUCCUCGGGAAUGGUUAAGAAGCUUCUGCCGGAAUUUCUUCCACCAUGCUUGACCCUGCCCAUUAAUUGUACCAUUAUGCCCUGUGAUUAUCACGUCUUUCAGUUUUUGUCCAUGGAUUAAACUUCCAUAGCGUGGUCCACGAUGCUCUCUUCCAUACCCAUAUGAAGGUAAGGGAGGCAUGAGAGGCCAGUACUUCUCAU